AUUGAACGCUGGCGGCAGGCCUAACACAUGCAAGUCGAACGAGUGGCGGACGGGUGGGUAAUGUCUGGGCAACUGCGUGAUGGAGGGGGAUAACUAAUGGAAACGGUAGCUAAUUCCGCAUACACUCGCAUGUGCCCAGUUGGGUUUCGCUAGUCGGUGGGGUAUAGGCUCACCUAGGCGCCGAUCCCUAGCUGGUCUGAGAGGAUGAUCAGCCACACUGGAACUGAGACACGGGCCAGAAUCCUACGGGAGGCAGCAGUGGGGAAUAGUGGACAAUGGGCGCAAGCCUGAUGCAGCCAUGCCGCGGGUAUGAAGAAGGCCUUCGGGUUGUAAAGUACUUUCAGUUGGGAGGCGUUACCCGCAGAAUAAGCACCGGCUAACUCCGUGCCAGCAGCCGCGGUAAUAC
rnacentral:rRNA from 1 species